UGGGGGAGGAACAAGAAUGGGGCAAGGUUGGAGAUGGCAUGAGUGAAACAAAAAGAAAGAAUUCUUCGUCAAAAUCAUGCCUUUCUAGAGCUCUAAAGCCUGUCUUGUAUAGGAAAAGAAUACCCAGUGAAAAAUGAUCUUCCUGACGUCACUGUGGAAAGUGAUAUUUUUGAUGUCACUGUGGAAAGUGAUAUUGUUGAUCUCAUUGUGAAAAAUGAUCAUCUUGACCUCACAUUUGAGAAAUUGAGACAGUAUACGGGUCAAUUUUCUCCAGAUAAUCUUGUUGGAAUCUCUCAAUAUGGUAAGCUCUACCGUUGGAAGAUGCCUGUGUGUUUGAAUCAAGAAGAUGAAACUACCAAAGAUGUGGCUGUCAAGAUUCUGUUUGAUCCUAGGGUUCUUCGAGACAAUAAAGACCUAGUGAGAUUUGAGGAUGAACUUAAAUUCUUGCAAGAUCCAAGGAUUAGGGGCAAUCCGAACUUAGUGAAAUUGAUUGGAUAUUGUCCGAGAGGAUAAAAUUCUGGGGGUUGUUUACGAUCUCAAACCACGUGACACCUUGUAUAACUUUAUCAUUCAAGUUUUCUUGUUCAGAUGAGUUCAAAUGGCUGGACAGAGUUAGGGCUGCACCUGCAUUAGCUCGCUUGGUGAAUCUCUUGCAUGGUCAGAAGUCACAAUACCUGAUUCACAACAUUAAUCCAGCUCACAUAGUGCUCGACAAGGAUUUCAAUCCCAUUCUGUUUGAAUUUGGUAUGUUACUUGGAAGUAAUUUGGAUAAGAUUGUCAGUCAUCGUGAAGCUGGAACUUUUGGCUACAUUGCUCCAGAUGUUGCUCAAUGUGGUGCGUGGACUGUCAAAUCUGAUGUUUACUCAUUUGGUAUUUUGCUCUUAGAUCUUAUGAGCAAAAGAGUUAUUGAUGUGAAAAACACUGUAGCGACUGCAGUUGAGUUGUGGGCCUUGAAAGAGUAUAAGCCCUGCAUGCGAAUCAGUUUUCUUGGUCAGAUGAGUUCAAAUGGCUGGAUAGAGUUAGGGCUGCACCUGCAUUAGCUCGCUUGGUGAAUCUCUUGCAUGGUCAGAAGUCACAAUACCUGAUUCACAACAUUAAUCCAGCUCACAUAGUGCUCGACAAGGUACGUUAUUACAAAUACGUUUUGUUGUUUCCACUGGGUAUGUAAAGUUCCUGGCCGUGUGUUGACAUUGUUAUUUUGUGUUUGCACACAAUAUUUCAUGACUGAGUAAAAAUAGUGUCUGUUCUUUCUCUCCAUGAUUUCAAUCCCAUCCUGUUUAAAUUUGGUAUGUUACUUGGAAGUAAUUUGGAUAAGACAGUCAGUCAUCGUGAAGCUGGAACUUUUGGCUACAUUGCUCCAGAUGUUGCUCAAUGUGGUACUAGUCCCUAAACUCAGUCAUUGUUUUAAUCAAAUAUAACAGUUGUAAAUUAGCGUUGUUUUCAUUAUAUUUACAUGUUGUUUCAUUAUCUUGUGGAGGUGCCACUUGAUUUUAUCAAUUUUAGAAGUUUGGCGUAUUGAAAACAUUUCUCAUUAAACUUAUUGGAGCUGUCGUCCUGCCAAGUUCCAAAUUGACCCCUUGUUAAUUUUUUGAUGUAUAAAGGUUGACACAAUAUCUUUGGAGGAAAAGAGGCGAAUAAUUGUGUUUAAAAUACAUCAUCCUUUCCACUCUUUUUUUCUGUCCUACCAUUCUAAGCAAAUUUAUCCAAAAGUUUCUGAAACCAAGAUGAUGGUUUGUAGGAAACAACAGUUUGCGAUAAGAACUUGCAGGGAUUAAAUGUGAAGCCCCAUAGGAAUUUGUAGGGAUUAAAUUCUAAGCAAGUCCAAGUAAAGCACCAUGGAGUUUUUGAAACCAUUUCUAGUUUUCUUUUUCCCGUUAUAUUACGACUUUAUUCUUCUUGUUUUUAGUGUGCUGCUUUACUUGGACUUGCGAAAAGAAAUGGUGCUUGUAUCUUUCACAGCCCGUCCAUUUCGUUGUUCUUUCUUUCUUUCGCUGAAGCAUCUGUUCUUAUGCGCUUUUCAUGCUUGUAAAAUAUGUGCAGGUGCGUGGACUGUCAAAUCUGAUGUUUACUCAUUUGGUGUUUUGCUCUUAGAUCUUAUGAGCAAAAGAGUUAUUGAUGUGAAAAACACCGUAGCGACUGAAAGAGUACAAGCCUGGGUGUUCACUUGUGCACCAAAGUCUUGAGGAUGAUCCAGACUUUGAUCCUCGUGAUGGACCUAAAAUGACAGAUCUUGCAAUGCAGUGUUUGGAUGAAAAAGAAAAGAAGCGACCACUAAUGAAAGAGGUUGUUAACCGUCUGGAGGCUUUACAUGUUGUGCAACAGCAUGCAGAGAGAAAAUGAGUUCUUUCUUAAGAUGUUAAAUGUUAGACGUUAAUAUGAUAUAUCAGGCUUCCCUUCCAAUUAAUGCCCAGUGAUGCAUGUACUAAGUGGAUCAGUUAGAUAGUAGGUUUACAGUGGAUACUAAUUUGACCCUUUCAUUUUGAUGGAAAUGCUGGUAAACUUGUUUGCUGAAGCCAAUGCAAUGCGCUAGCCUUGUUACCAGCAUACGAUUGAUAAUAGGGCAUUUAAUCUCUCUUUUCAAUAGAUUUAGAAUUCUAUUGUCAUGUCCA